GAAGAUGACAACGCUAAUCUGCUAAAUUAGUAGUCCAGAAGUAACCCCCUGGCAUCCUC
rnacentral:tRNA from 1 species